rnacentral:rRNA from 1 species
AUACUGAGGGCGCGAGCGUUGUCCGGAAUCACUGGGCGUAAAGCGCACGUAGGCGGCUAGGUCAGUCACCUGUGAAAUCCCGGAGCUCAACUCCGGGCCUGCAGGUGAUACUGCUUAGCUGGAGCACGGUAGAGGCAAGUGGAAUUCCCGGUGUAGCGGUGGAAUGCGUAGAUCUCGGGAAGAACACCAGUGGCGAAGGCGGCUUGCUGGGCCGUUGCUGACGCUGAGGUGCGAAAGCGUGGGUAGCAAACAGGAUUAGAAACCCCAGUAGUCC